AUUUAAAAACACUGAUUUUAUUCAGCAUUAAUAUUAAGAAAAAUGAACGUUGACAUGUUUCAACAAUUGUAUUGAUCCCCAGCUGAUUCAUUAACAUACAGCGGCUGUAAUAAAUGAUUAAUAUGAGAGCGUCAUUGGACGUACAGUCUAUAAAUCAGCUUUUUCUGUAUAGACAUUUAGUUAGAUAAGAACUAUCGGUAUGCUAGCUCACAUCAUAACAUCAGAUAAACAAUAUCAGGAUACAAGCGGCGUUUAGCGAUGUUUGUUUAAAAUAUUUAAAAAGUGUUGCUGAUUUAUAUGUUUCGUGAUUUCGCAGGUAUGGAUAUUCUUUUUUAAGUAAUGGAACUAAUGGAAUAUGACCAGAUAUUUGGACAGCCUGACUGCAAAUUUGGACCAAAGAAAGACUCAAAUGUUAAGAUAUACACAGGUAGUAACUAAGACGUUUCCAGUUUUACAAACGUAUAUAAAGUGGUGAUGGUGACGGCGAUGAUAUAGGAAAUGGUAAUGGAAAUAAGGACGAUUAUUGCGUUAAUGGUGAUGGCUGCUGAGAUGACGACGAUGAUGUUGAUGAUUAUAAUGAUAGUCAUGUUCAUAUAAAUGGUAAUUUUGGCGAUAAUUAUGACUUUGCUGGUGGUAAUUUUGACGAUGGUUAUGCUGAAGACGGUGGAAGUGAUUGUGAUGGUAAUGUUACUGAUGAUGUAAAUGGUGGUAAUGAUAAAUGCUGGUAAGUAAGUAAGUACGUAUUUACGUAAGCAACGACUUGAUUUUAAAUAGAUGACAUACAUGAUGAUCAAGUUAGGUCUACUAUCAACAUACAUAAAUGCAUACAUAUACAGAAAGUUGUAUAUACAAUAUUUACAAGGGUUUGACACAUUAAACCAUUAGACACAUGAAAUUCAUGGGAAAAACAGUUCAUACUUUCAAGUAUUUACAAGCAUUAACAAAGGCGUUCCCAUUAAGAACAUGCUUAUCUAAUUAAUUGGCCUCGAUUACCGUUUUAGUAAAGAUAUCGCUUUCACUUGAUUUAGACACUAACUAUUUUACUCAAGUCAGGUACCAUAUUGAAAUGCUAUGUUGACGGUCAGAGUGCUGGUGAUAUUGAUGACCAUGGUCAUUAUGAUGGCGAUGUUGACGAUGAUGACGAUACUGAUUGCAUCGAUGGUGUUGAUGUAAUGAUGGUGAUAAUCAUUCUCUUGGAGAUGGUGAUGACGAUAAUGAAGGUGAUUGUAGUGAAAGUGGAUAUGGUUAUGGUAGAACUGGUGAUAGUAGAACUGAUGAUGGUGACUGCAAUGAUAAGCUCUGGCAGAGCAAUCUGAAUAAACUUGAGAGGGAACCAUAUAAGAGUGUAACUGACCAAGUUUGUUAAAUGUCUGUCAAGUCAUUCAAAAGAAAUUGUCGAUUAAAGGUGCAAUGUAUCACUGUAUAUGUAUAUCCAUGUUUUAGCUCUGGCAGCCCAUAAAAGUGGUCAGUCGGAAUAAAGUUUUGUGUGAUUUCUGCCAGUAUUUUCACGGCAUAAAAUGUUGGCGAGGGAAUCUAAUCCAUCUGCGUAUAUCAAUAGCUCGCCUUCAACAUUUCGUUCAGGUUCGCUAAAAAGUAAAAUAAUCAUAAUUCGAUCAACAUAAAGUAUGACAGAGAUACCAACAUCACCCGCCUAGGGACUUCUUUUACAAAACAUGUUACCAGCCAAUAUAACAUCUUCGUCUAACUUUCGAGCUAACUGGAGCAAAAUACUAAAUAAUGUCUACCUUUCAUAAUAGUCUUUAUACCAAUCAUUAUAUAUCAAAUUAUUCAUGAAUAUUGUAUGUCGUUUGAAAAUGUAUGGAAUAUCGUAAUUGGUGAAUGUAACGAAUAUCCUAUCAUAUUAAAGGGAAACCUAUCAAUACAGCAAUCUUACUUUAAACAUAAUUCUUUUUGGAAAACUGAUAAAAAUCGCAUGCACUAUCAGGUCUAGGCCUUACAUUGAACAAAUAUAAUGCGACAGACCAUUUUAUAUCAACAUCCGUCUACCAAAAGUAAAGUUAUUGACCAGACAAAAGAAAUUACCUAAUGUCUCUUAUCUUAAAGUGCGACCUUGAUCUUUGUAAUAGGGUCCUGUGUCUAGCAUAUGACAUGUCUCCACAUUUUAGGGAACAUCUGUGAAAAGAUUCUGAAAUCUCUUGAUGAGUAGCAGAUAAAAAAAAGACAGUGUUAAUAUUUGACUUCCAAGUGGGACCCUGACCUUGGAGAUAGGGGUCUGUGUCUUGCAUGCGGCAUGUGGUAUCAUCAUCGCAAACAUGUGUGCCAAGUAUUUAAAAUGAAUGGCACAGUUAUGGAUUGGGCAGAAAACAGCUCCUCUUUUAAAACCGUUGACUUCAAAGUGCACUUGACCCUUGCUAGGGUUUGCGCAAAAUUAUUUAUUUCAAAAUCUCUUCAUAUACGGCAGAUCUAUGAAUCAAAGGCCAUAAUUCUUCUGAAAAUCCCCAAACCAGAAAAUGCUGAUUAUACACACAACUAGGCAAAGAUUAUUCUUGAGAAGUUUGGUGUAAAUCCGUCAAAUGACAUGUUACCUAUUGAAGAGAAAAUGGCUAAUUAGUGAUUAUCAAACCUUGUUGCUUCAUACUGUGUAAACAACCUUUGCAUUGAAACCCAAAACUGCUUCAAUGCCGUAUUGGUUUAGUUUCGUUCUUCUGUAUACAAUGUAUACCAACACAAAACAAACACAUAUCCGCAAUGAAAUUCAUUCAAAAUCAUCCCAAUGUUUGUGUCAUACACAUCCAAUUUAAACACCAAUUAAUCACUAUCAACAAUUUUUUUCCCUUAUAUAUAUUUGGCAUCAAAGAGAUAAAAUGUGUAAGAUCUUUGGAGGCCUAGAAGGCAACCAAGCAAAACAUAAAAUUAGUUUUGGUUUGACCGAGUCUGUCCACGAGAGGGCAUCUGCAACAACCUUCAAGGCCCGUAACAGUGGCUUAUGUGGAGCUCCAAUGUACAUAAACAUUGAAUGCAUUGGUCAAUGGACUAGAAAAUAUAACAAAACUACUCAGGGAUUUAUACCUUGUUUAUUUCAAUUUUGUACCAACACUAAUUCACACCUGUCUUGUAAUAAGAACUGGAAUUUGAAUACUAAAAAUCUUGCAUCUGAAGUCCUGUCUGUUACACUGAAUUCCUGCCAUACAUGAUAACAGACAAAUGUUCAGACAUUUAUAACAACGUAAUAUUUAUUGGUACAUCUCAGCAUAAAAACUUUCAAAACAGCAAAAUAUAAACUAAAGAUACGUGUUGUUUUUUCUUCAGUUCCAUGUAAACUACGAGAAUAAUGUGAAUCAUAAGCAUUUUCAUUCUUAAUAUUAAGAAGUCGCUUAUCUGACUUUGACUGUUUCACCUUAAAUAUAUGUAUGACAUGCUGGGUCGUGAAUGGUUUUACAACUGUCUUUAGUAUAAACUAGCGGCCCCUAAAAAUGGACCAAAUUUGGCCAAAUUCAGUAUAGCAUCCUACAUUGAUGCUACAAACCAACUUUACAAUCAUGCCACAGACCAAGUUUGAUGAAGUCCCAUUAUCAAAUGGUUCACAAAAAGGAUUUGUUUCUAGUGUCCGCUAACAUCUCUAUUUUGAACAUACUUUAGAGAGGACCUAAAAACGAGUGUACCAAGCAAGUUUAUCCAUCAAGCAGUUCAGAAGAAAACUAUUCUAUUUUCAGCUCUAGCGGCCCCUAAAAUGUGGCGAGUGCCACCAUUUGAAUAGUCUGGGAAUCCAGUCUGACAAUUUCUAACUUUUUUCUACCCGCAAAUUGUUAAUAUCAGAAUCUCGAUGAACGCCAAUAAACACUUAUUAGCGCAAAUUAAGCGGGAUCUUUAAGGUAUGAUUUCUUCUAACAAAGCACGAAUAUUAUCACGGAUUCCCAGGCUACCACUUGAACUAGUUUUGCAAAAUGUCUUAUGAUGGUGCUAUAAACCAAGUUUGAUGAAGAUCCAUCAGGUGAUUUUGAGAAGAAGUUGUUUACAAGCACAAAGUGUUUUUUUUUAUAUAUUUUAGCUGUAACUGCCCAUAAGAGCGAUAAGUAGACCCUUAUGAAUUCUCUCGUGAAAGGAACUGGCAGGUGCAAGAACAAGCUUCGUGUAAUUCUGACCUAGUCUCAAAAAGAAUGUUUGUGAAACUUGUUGGUGAUAAACUACAGACGAUGAACGAUGAACAUUCACCUACACUUAUAACUAAUCUCCAAAUCGUACGAAAACUAAAAAAGGAGAGAGGAUUUUUGUUUGUUUUUCCUAAGAAGACCUUCCAAGAAACUUAAUUAUUGACACAAUUCAAUUCAAAAUUGAAAAGCAUUUGAAAUGGGGCAAAGUAUAUGUUGCCUGAAUUAUAAUACCUUAUCUUUAACGACCGUUAAGUACUUAUUCCUUAAUGUGGUGAAUUGGUCAACAGUGCAAAUAAAAAAAAUGUUUAUUGCCUCGGCGACCCGGUUUUAAUUCACGACUCGGGCGUGCUUUUUUCUUUCUUUUUUCUUUUUUUCUUGUUUUGGCAUUUUUAAGUUAGUUUAGAAGAAAAGCUUAUCUCUUAAUGUUUAUAAUAUGGCAAUACUACAAAUUUAAAGAUUGGUCAUUUUAGACAAAAGCUGAAUGUCAGUGUUAAUAGUUUUUUUAAUAAAUGAAUCUUAAACACUGUUAAAAUUAGAUUGGCUUUCUCAAAGGUACUGGGCUCCUUUAAAAUUGUAGGUUUUGUCAUAUUAUGAAUAUUACAAUUAUAUUUUCAGAAAUGCCACAUGAAACGAACAAUGCAUGUCUUUUGAAUUAUGCAUUUAAUCUAGGUCAUGCAGUUUAGUUAGAAACUAGAAUAUGGAAAUUCAUGUACAUGUAUAUACGUAGUAUUCUUUAUAUUUUCAGAGGAUGUAGAAUAACAAACAGUG